rnacentral:rRNA from 1 species
GAUGAACGCUAGCGGCAGGCUUAACACAUGCAAGUCGAGGGGUAUAGUUCUUCGGAACUAGAGACCGGCGCACGGGUGCGUAACGCGUAUGCAAUCUACCUUUUGCAGAGGGAUAGCCCAGAGAAAUUUGGAUUAAUACCUCAUAGUAUGUGAGAAUGGCAUCAUUUUCACAUUAAAGUCACAACGGCAAAAGAUGAGCAUGCGUCCCAUUAGCUAGUUGGUAAGGUAACGGCUUACCAAGGCAACGAUGGGUAGGGGUCCUGAGAGGGAGAUCCCCCACACUGGUACUGAGACACGGACCAGACUCCUACGGGAGGCAGCAGUGAGGAAUAUUGGACAAUGGGCGCAAGCCUGAUCCAGCCAUGCCGCGUGCAGGAUGACGGUCCUAUGGAUUGUAAACUGCUUUUGUACAGGAAGAAACACUGGUUCGUGAACCAGCUUGACGGUACUGUAAGAAUAAGGAUCGGCUAACUCCGUGCCAGCCGCCGCUGUAAAAC